rnacentral:rRNA from 1 species
GACGAACGCUGGCGGCGUGCUUAACACAUGCAAGUCGAACGGUGAUGCUCCAGCUUGCUGGAGUGGAUCAGUGGCGAACGGGUGAGUAACACGUGAGCAACCUGCCCCAGACUCUGAAUAAGCGCUGGAAACGGCGUCUAAUACUGGAUACGAAACUGGCCCGCAUGGGCAUGGUUUGGAAAGUUUUUCGGUUUGGGAUGGGCUCGCGGCCUAUCAGCUUGUUGGUGAGGUAAUGGCUCACCAAGGCGACGACGGGUAGCCGGCCUGAGAGGGCGACCGGCCACACUGGGACUGAGACACGGCCCAGACUCCUACGGGAGGCAGCAGUGGGGAAUAUUGCACAAUGGGCGAAAGCCUGAUGCAGCGACGCCGCGUGAGGGAUGACGGCCUUCGGGUUGUAAACCUCUUUCAGCAGGGAAGAAGCGAAAGUGACGGUACCUGCAGAAGAAGCACCGGCUAACUACGUG